rnacentral:rRNA from 1 species
AACGAACGCUGGCGGCAUGCCUAACACAUGCAAGUCGAACGAUUGCCUUCGGGUGAUAGUGGCGCACGGGUGCGUAACGCGUGGGAAUCUGCCCUUAGGUUCGGAAUAACAGCUGGAAACGGCUGCUAAUACCGGAUGAUAUCGCGAGAUCAAAGAUUUAUCGCCUGAGGAUGAGCCCGCGUUGGAUUAGGUAGUUGGUGGGGUAAAGGCCUACCAAGCCGACGAUCCAUAGCUGGUCUGAGAGGAUGAUCAGCCACACUGGGACUGAGACACGGCCCAGACUCCUACGGGAGGCAGCAGUGGGGAAUAUUGGACAAUGGGCGCAAGCCUGAUCCAGCAAUGCCGCGUGAGUGAUGAAGGCCCUAGGGUUGUAAAGCUCUUUUACCCGGGAAGAUAAUGACUGUACCGGGAGAAUAAGCCCCGGCUAACUCC